rnacentral:rRNA from 1 species
UACAGAGGGUGCAAGCGUUAAUCGGAAUUACUGGGCGUAAAGCGUGCGUAGACGGUUAUUUAAGUCAGGUGUGAAAGCCCCGGGCUCAACCUGGGAACUUGCAUUUGAGACUGAAUAGCUAGGGUGCGGAAGAGGGAAGCGGAAUUUCCGGUGUAGCGGUGAAAUGCGUAGAUAUCGGAAGGAACACCAGUGGCGAAAGCGGCUUCCUGGUCCAGCACCGACGUUCAGGCACGAAAGCGUGGGGAGCAAACAGG